AUUGAACGCUGGCGGCAGGCCUAACACAUGCAAGUCGAACGGUAGCACAGGAGAGCUUGCUCUCUGGGUGACGAGUGGCGGACGGGUGAGUAAGGCAUGGGGAGCUGCCCAGGCGGGGGGGAUAACAACUGGAAACGGUUGCCAAUACCGCAUACGCCCUUUGGGGGAAAGGUGGGGAACUUCGGUCCUACCGCGAUUGGAGGGGCCCAUGUGGGAUUAGCUAGUUGGUGAGGUAACGGCUCACCAAGGCGACGAUCUCUAGCUGGUCUGAGAGGAUGACCAGCCACACUGGAACUGAGACACGGUCCAGACUCCUACGGGAGGCAGCAGUGGGGAAUAUUGCACAAUGGGGGAAACCCUGAUGCAGCCAUGCCGCGUGUGUGAAGAAGGCCUUCGGGUUGUAAAGCACUUUCAGUCAGGAGGAAGGGGUGAUGGCUAAUAUCCAUCAUCAUUGACGUUACUGACAGAAGAAGCACCGGCUAACUCCGUGCCAGCCGCCGCCGUAAAAC
rnacentral:rRNA from 1 species